rnacentral:misc_RNA from 1 species
AAGUCGUAACAAGGUUUCCGUAGGUGAACCUGCGGAAGGAUCAUUACCUUUCAAUGCAGAAGAGUUGAGGUGGUUGAGUAUCUCGCCCCUCAAUUCUCGCUGUAUUUUACCCUUGUUUUUCUCAUACUAUUAUUUCCUCGGCAGGCCAGCCUGCCGGGUGAAACAACUUCAAACCUGUUUAAUUUUCAAUCAGCGUCUGAACAAAUUAAUAAUUACAACUUUCAACAACGGAUCUCUUGGUUCUG